UACGUAGGGGGCAAGCGUUGUCCGGAUUUAUUGGGCGUAAAGAGCGUGUAGGCGGCCAGGCAGGUCUGCUGUGAAAACUCGAGGCUUAACCUCGAGCUGGCGGCGGAAACCAUCUGGCUAGAGUCCGGAAGAGGAGAAUGGAAUUCCCGGUGUAGCGGUGAAAUGCGCAGAUAUCGGGAAGAACACCCGUGGCGAAGGCGGUUCUCUGGGACGGUACUGACGCUGAGACGCGAAAGCGUGGGGAGCGAACAGG
rnacentral:rRNA from 1 species